AUUGAACGCUGGCGGCAGGCCUAACACAUGCAAGUCGAGCGGAUGAAGGGAGCUUGCUCCUGGAUUCAGCGGAGGACGGGUGAGUAAUGCCUAGGAAUCUGCCUGGUAGUGGGGGAUAAAGUCCGGCAACGGGCGCUAAUACCGCAUACGUCCUGAGGGAGAAAGUGGGGGAUCCUCGGACCCCACGCUAUCAGAUGAGCCUAGGUCGGAUUAGCUAGUUGGUGGGGUAAAGGCAUACCAAGGCGACGAUCCGUAACUGGUCUGAGAGGAUGAUCAGUCACACUGGAACUGAGACACGGUCCAGACUCCUACGGGAGGCAGCAGUGGGGAAUAUUGGACAAUGGGCGAAAGCCUGACCCAGCCAUGCCGCGUGUGUGAAGAAGGUCUUCGGAUUGUAAAGCACUUUAAUUUGGGAGGAAGGGCAGUAAGUUAAUACCUUGCUGUUUUGACGUUACCAACAGAAUAAGCACCGGCUAACUUCGUG
rnacentral:rRNA from 1 species